AUAUCUUGGCCUUUUGGCUAAGAUCAAGUGUAGUAUCUGUUCUUAUCAGUUUAAUAUCUGAUACGUCCUCUAUUUGAGGACUAUAUAUUCAAUGGAUUUUUAAAUUUUU
ensembl:snRNA U2 U2 spliceosomal RNA